rnacentral:ncRNA from 1 species
AACUUAUCAAGAGAAGUGGAGGGACUGGCCCUUAGAAACUUCAGCAACCGGCAGUGCACGGUGCUAAUUCCAGCAGGCGAUCAGCCUGAAGAUAAGAA